UCUAUUAUUUCUUGAAAUCUAUUCUAUUUCUUGGAAGGUGGUGUAGUUAGAUUUGACUUGCGAAGUUUAAUUACAUUGUGCUUGUAUAGCUUACAAGGAGCAAUAUGUUACAAGGAGCCAAAGAGUCUAUUGCUUUAGUUGCAGAGUCUCUCUCAAGUCCAUAUCUAUUCUAACUUUUCCUGUAUCUCCCACACUUGCUUAAGAUUUGCAACUAACUGGUGAAUUUUAUUUUGUUCGAUUUCCUAUGUCUUCGAUCUCCAUCAUAUAUAUCUACAAUGAAUCAUCUUCCCAUGCUUUCCCAUCAGCAACUACUUUACUUGCUGACCAUGUCUUUUAUUUCAAGGUGUUAAAAACUUUAAUCAUAUGUUGACAUCUUGUGUUCACACCAUAUUUCUUCUUUUUGUACUAAAUAUGUUUUUCCCUUUGAGCCAUAUUAUGUUGUUGCCUUUUUCAGAAGGUCGAGCUAUUUAAUGUUUUAUAAGAUUGUCAUUCUUGUCUAGUAGUUUCCGUAUAUAUGAAUAGGAUGGUAUAUUGUCCUACUAUUUGGUUUGGAUUUGGAAUCAAUAACCACAUAAUAGUUUCAUUCUGAUGGUCACCAUUGGUCUUAGUUGCAUAUCUCUAAUUUAUUCUGCACUCAUUGGAACUAUGAGAUUAUUUGAUGGAAGAUUUGAGCUUACAAUAAUCUUUGAAUGUAAAGAGGGCUAUGUGGUGUUCAAAGAGAACGAUUAAGGAUCCAUAAAAUAUGUUGCAAGAGAGGUCCAAAUCUCGGUGAGUAUUUUCUUCCAAUACUUUGUUAUGCUACAGCCAACAAUACUUUGUUUAACUGGUUGCUUCGCUAUUAAUGUAUUGUUAAUAUAACUUGAAAGAAUAUGCAGAAAAUAGAUCUCUUGAUAUUGCUUGCUCUAUAUUGAACUUUUAAUUACUAGUGUUUUGUUUUUACUUCUUUUUAGUGCUUCUUCCCUCAGAACUUGAUUAUCAGUGUUAGAACCCCCACUCUUUCUUCUUAAUGCUGCGUAUGAUUCAUGGCAGGUAACUUUAUCAUAAAUCAUAUAAUAUGAUCUAUGAUAGUAUUGAUCAUUAAAUUAUUUGUACUAAACAAUCAUGUUUCCAAUUAUAAUCAGAUCCAAUCUAGUUUAGCUCCUCCAUCAACAGAUCCCCAUGGACAUUAGCAUGAUUGCAGAUUAAACCAUGCUAAAUGUACUAGGCAACAAAACCAAUUUUUGCCAUUCAUUGCAAGUGAAGAGAAAUCUUAAAUACAUACUAUUCAAUUGUUUAAGACAUUUUAAUGUCUCUUGAAUACAUGAUUCAGGAAUCACAUGCUGAAUUCUGUUAAAGAUUUCUCAAGAUCAAAAUAGAAUGGACUGUUUAUUAAUUCGUGUUUUGCGCACUGCCAAACCGAGAGGCAUGAUACAUGGUUUUCAGAUAAUUCUCCAGCUGUUGGGAACAAGGUAAUUGCUUUAGCUGUUGGAGACUGAUUUUUGGACUGAGAAGGUGUUACAGUCAUUGAUUGUCCUUAUCCUUGUGAUAAUACAUGUCACCAUAUGGUUUUCAGUUGAGCCAAAGUUCAUCCAUCAUCAUAAGUGGAGGAUUAGCUAUUUGAGAAUGUUGGGGGCAAAUCCUCUUUGUUUCUUAACACUUAACAUCAUAUGUAUUAUUGAGCCAUAGGAGGGAUUCAACUCAUAUAUAUAGUUAAGAUUGUUACUACUAGUAAUAUUUCAAAUUUAGCUUGAUUAUAAAGAUGUCUAUCCAAACAAUUAAGAAAAAAGGGGUAAGUUUAUUGAUGUAUUUAUGAGAAUAAUAUAAAUAUACGAGUCAUUUAUAUAGAAAUUUUAUAAUGAGAUAAUCUAGUACAAA